rnacentral:lncRNA from 1 species
GAGUUUGGGAGAGAAAGAUUAUGAAAUGUUUAUGGACGGUGCGAAAGAGAUGGCAUAAGAAUCUUGUUUUUUUUAGAAUGAGACGCAUGAAUGUAUGAAUGGAUGCAUGCAAAAAAAAUAUUUUUAGUUUCCUGCGGAUCCUGAGAUUUCAUUUGUUGUUAUGAGUAAUCAUAAAGCUUGAAAAUAAAGACAAAAGACCAAACGUUGUGAAC